GACGAACGCUGGCGGCGUGCCUAAUACAUGCAAGUCGAACGCUGAAGGAGGAGCUUGCUUCUCUGGAUGAGUUGCGAACGGGUGAGUAACGCGUAGGUAACCUGCCUGGUAGCGGGGGAUAACUAUUGGAAACGAUAGCUAAUACCGCAUAAUAGUAGAUGUUGCAUGACAUUUGCUUAAAAGGUGCAAUUGCAUCACUACCAGAUGGACCUGCGUUGUAUUAGCUAGUUGGUGGGGUAACGGCUCACCAAGGCGACGAUACAUAGCCGACCUGAGAGGGUGAUCGGCCACACUGGGACUGAGACACGGCCCAGACUCCUACGGGAGGCAGCAGUAGGGCAUCUUCGGCAAUGGACGGAAGUCUGACCGAGCAACGCCGCGUGAGGGAAGAAGGUUUUCGGAUCGUAAAGCUCUGUUGUAAGAGAAGAACGAGUGUGAGAGUGGAAAGUUCACACUGUGACGGUAUCUUACCAGAAAGGGACGGCUAACUACGUG
rnacentral:rRNA from 1 species